AUUGAACGCUGGCGGCAGGCCUAACACAUGCAAGUCGAACGAGUGGCGGACGGGUGAGUAAUGUCUGGGAAACUGCCUGAUGGAGGGGGAUAACUACUGGAAACGGUAGCUAAUACCGCAUACCAUCGGAUGUACCCAGAUGGGAUUAGCUAGUAGGUGGGGUAAAGGCUCACCUAGGCGACGAUCCAUAGCUGGUCGUAGAGGAUGACCAGCCACACUGGAAAUGAGACACGGGCCAGACUCCUACGGGAGGCAGCAGUGGGUACGAUUGCACAAUGGGCGCAAGCCUGAUGCAGCCAUGCCGCGGGUAUGAAGAAGGCCUUCGGGUUGUAAAGUACUUUCAGCGGGGAGGCGUUACCCGCAGAAGAAGCACCGGCUAACUCCGUGCCAGCCGCCGCGGUAAUAC
rnacentral:rRNA from 1 species